CUACUGUCUGGAUCUCAUUUUCUCAAGUUUUUGCAUCACAGAUAAACAGAGUCGCGGCAGAUAUAGAGUUGUGCUGGAGGAUGUUUUACCCGCUGGGACAGUUUGUGGCCCAAACAACAGAACUGUCUCCUGGUCAAUGGAACUCUGCCUUCAAAAAUAAAUACUGGAAUAAUCCAAACGGCCUACUUGAAAAUGAACACUGAUGAUGGAAUAAAAUGUCUCCAUUUACAACAAAGGUAGGCUACUUUGGGUCUGACAGACAGCCAUUGUGAAGGACACAAUCUGGCAAAAAUUUACCUGCAGAAGUGAAUGGGAGGAUAU